rnacentral:rRNA from 1 species
UACGAAGGGGGCUAGCGUUGCUCGGAAUGACUGGGCGUAAAGGGCGCGUAGGCGGUUCGUACAGUCAGACGUGAAAUUCCCGGGCUCAACCUGGGGGCUGCGUUUGAUACGUGCGGGCUUGAGUUCGGAAGAGGGUCGUGGAAUUCCCAGUGUAGAGGUGAAAUUCGUAGAUAUUCGCAAGAACACCAGUGGCGAAGGCGGCCAACUGGUCCGGAACUGACGCUGAGGUGCGAAAGCGUGGGGAGCAAACAGG